rnacentral:rRNA from 1 species
UACGUAGGAUCCGAGCAUUAUCCGGAGUGACUGGGUGUAAAGAGUUGCGUAGGUGGCAUAAUAAGUAGCUAGUGAAAUCUGGUGGCUCAACCAUUCAGACUAUUAGCUAAACUGUUAAGCUCGAGACCGUUAGGGUAACUGGAAUUUCUAGUGUAGGAGUGAAAUCCGUAGAUAUUAGAAGGAACACCAAUAGCGUAGGCAGGUUACUGGACGGUUCUGACACUAAGGCACGAAGCGUAGGAGCAACGG